UACGGAGGGUGCAAGCGUUAUCCGGAUUUACUGGGCUUAAAGGGUGCGUAGGCGGACAGGUAAGUCAGUGGUGAAAUCCCCGAGCUCAACUUGGGAACUGCCGUUGAUACUAUCUGUCUUGAAUACCGUGGAGGUGAGCGGAAUAUGUCAUGUAGCGGUGAAAUGCUUAGAUAUGACAUAGAACACCGAUUGCGAAGGCAGCUCACUACGCGGUCAUUGACGCUGAGGCACGAAAGCGUGGGGAGCAAACAGG
rnacentral:rRNA from 1 species